rnacentral:snRNA from 10 species
AUACUUGUCUGACAGGGGGGAAUUCUGACAAUGAAGAUGGUUUUUGAGAGUGAGCCUAAUCAUUAGCACUUUGGGUAGGCUGAUUCCUGCAGUUUCCCCAGAUCCAGGGAACUUGACUGUAAAAUUUGUGAUGUGGGAGACUGUUUUUGUUCUUUCUUUUU